rnacentral:rRNA from 1 species
GCACAAGCGGUGGAGCAUGUGGUUUAAUUCGAUGGUACGCGAGGAACCUUACCUGGGCUAGAAUGCAGUCUGACCGCCGGUGAAAGCUGGUUUUGUAGCAAUACACAGAUUGUAAGGUGCUGCAUGGCUGUCGUCAGCUCGUGCCGUGGGGUGUUGGGUUAAGUCCCGCAACGAGCGCAACCCCUAUCACUAGUUGCCAUCAGGUAAUGCUGGGAACUCUAGUGAAACUGCCGUCGUAAGACGCGAGGAAGGAGGGGAUGAUGUCAAGUCAUCAUGGCCUUUAUGCCCAGGGCUACACACGUGCUACAAUGGGAAGGACAAAGGGUUGCUACCUGGUAACGGGAUGCUAAUCUCAAAAACCUUCUCUCAGUUCGAAUUGAGGUCUGCAACUCGACCUCAUGAAGCUGGAAUCGCUAGUAAUCGUAUAUCAGCAAUGAUACGGUGAAUACGUUCCCGGGC